UUGGAGGGCAAGUCUGGUGCCAGCAGCCGCGGUAAUUCCAGCUCCAAUAGCGUAUAUUAAAGUUGUUGCAGUUAAAAAGCUCGUAGUUGAAUUUCGGGAUUAGUACGUCGGUCGUGCCUUAGGUACGUACUGGUGUUACUGGUUCCUACCUUCUGACGAACCAUCAUGUCAUUAAUUUGGUGCGGUGGGGAAUCAGGACUGUUACUUUGAAAUAAUUAGAGUGUUUAAAGCAGGCUCGCGCUUGAAUACAUUAGCACGGAAUAAUGAAAUAGGACGUUGAUCCUAUUUUGUUGGUUUCUAGGAUUGACGUAAUGAUUAAUAGGGAUAGUUGGGGGCAUUAGUAUUCAAUUGUCAGAGGUGAAAUUCUUGGAUUUAUUGAAGACUAACUACUGCGAAAGCAUUUGCCAAGGAUGUUUUCAUUAAUCAAGAACGAAAGUUAGGGGAUCGAAGACGAUCAGAUACCGUCGUAGUCUUAACCAUAAACUAUGCCGACUAGGAAUCAGACGAUGUUAAUUUUUUAAUGACUCGUUUGGCACCUUACGGGAAAC
rnacentral:rRNA from 1 species